rnacentral:rRNA from 1 species
UACAGAGGGUGCGAGCGUCAAUCGGAAUUACUGGGCGUAAAGCGCACGUAGGUGGCUUGGCAAGUCGGGUGUGAAAUCCCCGGGCUCAACCUGGGAACUGCAUUCGAGACUGCCUUGCUAGAGUAUGGGAGAGGGAAGUGGAAUUUCCGGUGUAGCGGUGAAAUGCGUAGAUAUCGGAAGGAACAUCAGUGGCGAAGGCGACUUCCUGGACCAAUAUUGACGCUGAGAAACGAAAGUGCGGGGAUCAAACAGG